UACAGAGGGGGCUAGCGUUGUUCGGAAUUACUGGGCGUAAAGGGCGCGUAGGCGGCCCGCUAAGUCGAACGUGAAAUCCCCGGGCUCAACCCGGGAACUGCGUCCGAUACUGGCAGGCUUGAAUCCGGGAGAGGGAUGUGGAAUUCCAGGUGUAGCGGUGAAAUGCGUAGAUAUCUGGAGGAACACCGGUGGCGAAGGCGGCAUCCUGGACCGGUAUUGACGCUGAGGCGCGAAAGCCAGGGGAGCAAACGGG
rnacentral:rRNA from 2 species